GUCGAGGAUCUUCGGCAAUGGGCGAAAGCCUGACCGAGCGACGCCGCGUGUGCGAUGAAGGCCUUCGGGUUGUAAAGCACUGUCGUGGGGGAGAAAGGGAAACUUGAUCGACCCCAGGAGGAAGCUCGGGCUAAGUUCGUGCCAGCAGCCGCGGUAAGACGAACCGAGCGAACGUUGUUCGGAAUCACUGGGCUUAAAGGGCGCGUAGGCGGGCGAUCAAGUCCGGGGUGAAAGCCUCCAGCUCAACUGGAGAAGUGCCUCUGAUACUGGUCGCCUCGAGGGGGAUAGGGGCGUGCGGAACUUCCGGUGGAGCGGUGAAAUGCGUAGAUAUCGGAAGGAACACCGGUGGCGAAAGCGGCGCGCUGGAUCCCUUCUGACGCUGAGGCGCGAAAGCCAGGGGAGCAAACGGGAUUAGAAACCCGAGUAGUCC
rnacentral:rRNA from 1 species